rnacentral:tRNA from 1 species
GCCUGGGUGGCUCAGUUCGUUAAGUGUCUGACUUUGGCUCAGGUCAUGAUCUCACGGUUCGUGGGUUCGAGUCCCACAUUGGGCU